rnacentral:rRNA from 1 species
CCUACGGGUGGCAGCAGUGAGGAAUAUUGGUCAAUGGCCGUAAGGCUGAACCAGCCAAGUAGCGUGAGGGAAGACUGCCCUAUGGGUUGUAAACCUCUUUUAUGCGGGGAUAAAGGUGUCCACGUGUGGAUGUUUGCAGGUACCGCAUGAAUAAGGACCGGCUAAUUCCGUGCCAGCAGCCGCGGUAAUACGGAAGGUCCGGGCGUUAUCCGGAUUUAUUGGGUUUAAAGGGAGCGUAGGUGGAUUGUUAAGUCAGUUGUGAAAGUUUGCGGCUCAACCGUAAAAUUGCAGUUGAAACUGGCAGUCUUGAGUACAGUAGAGGUGGGCGGAAUUCGUGGUGUAGCGGUGAAAUGCUUAGAUAUCACGAAGAACUCCGAUUGCGAAGGCAGUUCACUGGACUGCAACUGACACUGAGGCUCGAAAGUGUGGGUAUCAAACAGGAUUAGAUACCCCUGUAGUC